CCUACGGGUGGCAGCAGUCGAGAAUAAUUCACAAUGGGGGAAACCCUGAUGGUGCGACGCCGCGUGGGGGAAUGAAGGUCUUCGGAUUGUAAACCCCUGUCAUGUGGGAGCAAAUUAAAAAGAUAGUACCACAAGAGGAAGAGACGGCUAACUCUGUGCCAGCAGCCGCGGUAAUACAGAGGUCUCAAGCGUUGUUCGGAAUCACUGGGCGUAAAGCGUGCGUAGGCUGUUUCGUAAGUCGUGUGUGAAAGGCGCGGGCUCAACCCGCGGACGGCACAUGAUACUGCGAGACUAGAGUAAGGGAGAGGGAAGCGGAAUUCGCGGUGUAGCGGUGAAAUGCGUAGAUAUCGAGAGGAACACUCGUGGCGAAGGCGGGUUCCUGGACAUUAACUGACGCUGAGGCACGAAGGCCAGGGGAGCGAAAGGGAUUAGAUACCCCUGUAGUC
rnacentral:rRNA from 1 species